UACGUAGGUGGCGAGCGUUAUCCGGAAUUAUUGGGCGUAAAGAGGGAGCAGGCGGCAGCUAAGGUCUGCGGUGAAAGCCCGAAGCUAAACUUCGGUAAGCCGUGGAAACCGAGCAGCUAGAGUGCAGUAGAGGAUCGUGGAACUCCAUGUGUAGCGGUGAAAUGCGUAGAUAUAUGGAGGAACACCAGUGGCGAAGGCGACGAUCUGGGCUACAACUGACGCUCAGUCCCGAAAGCGUGGGGAGCAAAUAG
rnacentral:rRNA from 1 species